rnacentral:rRNA from 1 species
UACGUAGGUGGCAAGCGUUGUCCGGAUUUACUGGGUGUAAAGGACGUGUAGCCGGGUUGACAAGUCAGAUGUGAAAUCCUGCGGCUUAACCGCAGAACUGCAUUUGAAACUGUUGAUCUUGAGUACUGGAGAGGCAGACGGAAUUCCUAGUGUAGCGGUGAAAUGCGUAGAUAUUAGGAGGAACACCAGUGGCGAAGGCGGUCUGCUGGACAGCAACUGACGCUGAGGCGCGAAAGCGUGGGGAGCAAACAGG